AGAUUGAACGCUGGCGGCAGGCCUAACACAUGCAAGUCGAGCGGCAGCACGGGUACUUGUACCUGGUGGCGAGCGGCGGACGGGUGAGUAAUGCCUAGGAAUCUGCCUGGUAGUGGGGGAUAACGCUCGGAAACGGACGCUAAUACCGCAUACGUCCUACGGGAGAAAGCAGGGGACCUUCGGGCCUUGCGCUAUCAGAUGAGCCUAGGUCGGAUUAGCUAGUUGGUGAGGUAAUGGCUCACCAAGGCGACGAUCCGUAACUGGUCUGAGAGGAUGAUCAGUCACACUGGAACUGAGACACGGUCCAGACUCCUACGGGAGGCAGCAGUGGGGAAUAUUGGACAAUGGGCGAAAGCCUGAUCCAGCCAUGCCGCGUGUGUGAAGAAGGUCUUCGGAUUGUAAAGCACUUUAAGUUGGAGAAGGCAGUUACCUAAUACGUAUCUGUUUUGACGUUACGACAGAAUAAGCAACCGGCUAACUCUGUG
rnacentral:rRNA from 1 species